GUUGAAGUGCUAUGAAAAUGUACUUCCUACUUUAUCUUUCAGGUUCUUGAAUAAACAAUAUGAGAUAGAAUAAUUAUGCUAUUUCUAAGUGAAUCUAUCUUUUGAAAAAAGAAUCAUUUCCAGGCACUUGUAUGAUAAUAGAGUUUUUAUUUGGCUACAACUAUUUUGCUAAAAUGCAUCUAUUGCAUGGGUCAAUCCCAUCCUAUUGUUAGUAGUUUUGGUUCUGCAGAGAUGACUAAUCACAUCAUAUCACACAGCACAGCAGCAGGAGUUGUCUUUGGUUUAUAAACAUGUAAGUAUAUACAUAUAUACUUAUAUAUAUAAACAGUCUAAAAUGUUUGAAUGGUCAGUGCUUGAUAACUGCAUUUGGUAGAAAAUGUAAAGCCUAAUGUGUUUUGUGGAGCACAUCUUUUAAAAAGAAUGAAUAUCCAAGUUUGAUGAAGACACAGUCAUAUUUUUAGGAUUCCCAACAUUGCCAAAUCACAAGUUUUAUUUUGAAAUGAAUUUAUUAGUACAUACACAUUCUCUUAGAUCUUCUUUGUGUCUUUGGAGUAACAUUUUCUUUGCUGUGUGAGGAGACUUAUGUCUUAUGACUAUUUCUUAGCCUUGGGAUAUAGAUGCAUACAUGUAGAUUUCACUGAUCUUCAGAGGCUAAUCAUAACAGAAGAAAAAAAAAAGAAAAAUAAAAAAAACAGAUUCUAGUUUCAGAUUAUGCAAGUAAUUGCAAAGGACAUCUGCUUCCACUACUAGUUUCCAUAGAUCUAAGUCCAUUUUCAAAUACAUACUACUAUAGAAAAGUCCAGCGUCAGUUUGAAUUUCAAAUUCAUUUGCAUUUGUAAUUAGUACAUCUCUUCCAACAAACCCUCUAUACUGUGUAUUUUAAAUUAGAAGGUUUCCUUCACAUUUUGUUUGCUACACACUUUUCUUGCUUAAUCUCUAAAGAUUUUCUGAACUGUGCUCCUUUUAUCUAAAUACCUAUUUACAUUUUAUUGAAAAAAAAAAACAGUAUAAGAAGGAUAGUAUAUUUAUGCUAGAAUGAAUGAUCUGAAUGAGGUAGCACAAGAAGUAACGCAGUACAGAGUUGAAGAAAGGAAGCAAGUUAAUAUAAAUAAGAGAAGGAUUAUGCUUCUCUUAUGCUUUUUCUUUCUCCAGUGUUAUAAAAUUUAUAGCUACACUGAUGAUUGAAUUUAGAUGGCUUUAUGUACUACAUAAUAACAGAUCUAUUCCAUUUUGGGUUUCUUCUUGUUGUUGCUUUUGUUUUUGUUUUUCCUUUUUUAAAUGGAGCAUUUUUCCUCUUCAAAACUCCGAUUCUGUUCUUGAAAAAUAGCAAAAGUAUAGCAAAAAUAUGUUUACUGCUCCUGCUUCUCCACACUGGUGGUGGAGGAACUGAUGGCAAGGGAUGUGAUACUUGACCUUUUCUCUUACUAACAAAGAAGGGCUGGUCAGAGAAGUGAAUGUUGUGGGCAGCUUGGGAUGCAGUGACUAGGGAAGGGAAGGGAAGAUCAUACUGUGUAUCUUGAUACUUCAUUCACUGAAUGUUAUAUUGUCUCUAUAUUAUAACAUUUCAAAAGCAGAGUUGGUAGGUCUGAAAGUAUAAGCACGUCCUUUGAAUCACCUCCUAAAAACAGGAAAAUGCUUUAGUAGAAAACAAAUAUAUUUGUGCUCACUAACAAUAGGUAAUCUUAAUCUGCAAUAUGAUUUCUACAACUAUUUUCAAAAAGGCAGGUAGAUCAUCUCCAGGAAAUCUUUUUCUUAUGGUAAAAUUUUGCCACUAACAAAUUAAAGAAAGGCAUAAGCUUUUCACUGAUCAAGUUAAUCACUUUUAUCAGCUAUGCAAAUAUUCUAACAAGUUAUUUU
ensembl:lncRNA